GGGGAGGGUUGGGAUCCCGCUAACAUGUUUAACCCCGCCACAUUAUUUAUGUAUGUGCCUGUCCCAAGUCAGAAGCCUGUAAUUCAGUGGUUGUCGUUUGUUUAUGUUUUAAAUAUUUGUUUUUCGUUAUUUUUUUUUACAUAAGGCCGUUAGUUUUCUCGUUUGAAUUGUUUUACAUGGUCUUAUCAGGGCCUUUUAUAGCUAUGCGGUAUGGGCUUUGCUCAUUGUUGAAGGCCGUACUGUGACCUAUAGUUGUUAAUGUCUGUGUCAUUUUGGUUUUUUGUGGAUAGUUGUCUCAUUGGCAAUCAUACCACAUCUUCUUUUUUAUAAGGCUUUCUUUAAAAUCAUUUUUGUGAUGUGUUG
rnacentral:lncRNA from 1 species